AGUCCGUUCAGUUCCUCCUCAGUAAUUGGCCUAUCUCAAAUAGAUGCAAAUGUACCUGGAGCCCCUCCCACACUUUGAGUUCCUGUUAGAGAUUUUGGAGGAUAAGUCUACAGGUUUACACAUACAAAAAAAAAGUCUCCAAUUCACUUGAAGCUGCUGGGGAUGUUGUUGCAGCAGAAAUUCAGGGGCAGACGCAGGGGCUUGUCGGUUGGGCGGGAUGGAGGCAAGAUGGAGUCAAGAGCUUCCAGCAAGGUGACGCCAUUUGCACCACCUUCCUUACGCUCGAUCUUCCAGCCCUUGAACCAGGCCAUCUAAAAUGGAGGACGCGGAAGAGUGAGGAAGACAGGAGAAGUCAGGCACAGCAGCACCGAUGUCGGACACCGGCGUUGGAUGAUGAGGCCUGGAUGUUCCACUUCAUCUCAAAGGUGUUGGAGGAGUUUGAGGUCUGACGUUCUCAACCUAACUCCCUGACAUGACUCUGUGCAUGUGGAUAUCAACAUGUUUCUACGGGAUAGGAAGGAAACAACUUUUCCUCAAAGUUGGCAGUGCACCAUAUUCUGACCAAAGCAUCAAAGCAUCAAGUUGAUGGGUUGUGAGAUGGUUUAAAUGCAGAGAAAACCUUCAUAAUGAAGCGAAAGUGUAUGAAACUAAAAAAAAAAAAAAGACAACAAAAUGAAGGCUUUGGCUGAGGAGAUCAGAAGCAGCUGUAACCUAAAGAGUAGGAUGGGUUGGUCAAAGCAACUUCAAGUAAUGGGGGCCGCAAGCCAAAAUGAGGAUUUGGGACUCAUUGAUAUAAAGUAUAUAAAUUAGCUUUUACUUCAACUGGACACUUUGUCUAUUUUAAGAUAUAAAACAAAGAAAUAAAUAAAUUUGAAUGAGUAACAACUCUUUAGUGAAACUGUUCAUGUAAGAAUCGGUUGCAGGUCAACUUUGUUUAUUUAUUUAUCUAUGUGUUUGUUUGUUUUUAUGUUUAUUUUACUGUAAGAAAUGUGAACAAGUGCUGGACAUUAAGAAGCAAACAAAAACAGUUGACUCAGUGUUUUGUUUAUAUACUUUAAGCCAUUUUAAUGUAUUUAUAAUUUAAUACAA